rnacentral:lncRNA from 1 species
GUCCAUGUGAAUUCUCAAUAAUUCUAUGCAUUAUAUUAAAAUCGGGAUGGCUCAACCGGUCAUGCCAAAUGAUAAAAUCAUUACGAUCUGUAAACCUUUUAUUUACUAUGGCAUGUGAUUCAACCAUAUAAAUACUUGUAUGAUACAAUCCAGAAGAAAGUGCAGGUAAUUUUUUAUGCACAAAUUUUUCUCCAUCUUUUAUUGUAGUAAUAUAAAGAUAGUCAAUCUUUCCUUCAUUUGCAGUCUCAAUGUGAUAGCCAUUUUGGUGAAUAACCUUGAAACGUAACAAGUUUCUUUGAGACUUGCUAUACUAUAAUGCAUUAUCAAUGGCCAAUAUUGUUUCCCCGGGUAGUAAUAAAGUCGCUCUUCCAGAGCCCCGAAUUAACUUUGUACUACCGAAUAUUGUAUUAACAUGAGUCAUUUUCAUAAUUAAAUUAGAAAAAUAUUUCUUUUCUCUUAAUAUAGUGUGAUUUGUAGCACUAUCAAGAAGACACACAUCUCUAUUACUCAUCUUGGAUCCAGUUGAAGAUUGAGAAAAUUUUAUUAUCUGAUGGAUUGAAAACUUGAAAAAGAGUAGAGUCGUGCUGAUAACGUAUUGUAAAUAAAUAUUCUGAAAUAUACUAAAAUGAAAGGGGAGGGAAGAGAGACCUAUAGAUAUAAGAAAAU